GGUUAAGCGACUAAGCGUACACGGUGGAUGCCCUGGCAGUCAGAGGCGAUGAAGGACGUGCUAAUCUGCGAUAAGCGUCGGUGAGGUGAUAUGAACCGUUAUAACCGGCGAUUUCCGAAUGGGGAAACCCAGUGUGUUUCGACACACUAUCAUUAACUGAAUCCAUAGGUUAAUGAGGCGAACCGGGGGAACUGAAACAUCUAAGUACCCCGAGGAAAAGAAAUCAACCGAGAUUCCCCCAGUAGCGGCGAGCGAACGGGGAGGAGCCCAGAGCCUGAAUCAGUGUGUGUGUUAGUGGAAGCGUCUGGAAAGGCGUGCGAUACAGGGUGACAGCCCCGUACACAAAAAUGCACAUAUUGUGAGCUCGAUGAGUAGGGCGGGACACGUGGUAUCCUGUCUGAAUAUGGGGGGACCAUCCUCCAAGGCUAAAUACUCCUGACUGACCGAUAGUGAACCAGUACCGUGAGGGAAAGGCGAAAAGAACCCCGGCGAGGGGAGUGAAAAAGAACCUGAAACCGUGUACGUACAAGCAGUGGGAGCCUCUUAAUGGGGUGACUGCGUACCUUUUGUAUAAUGGGUCAGCGACUUAUAUUCUGUAGCAAGGUUAACCGAAUAGGGGAGCCGAAGGGAAACCGAGUCUUAACUGGGCGUUAAGUUGCAGGGUAUAGACCCGAAACCCGGUGAUCUAGCCAUGGGCAGGUUGAAGGUUGGGUAACACUAACUGGAGGACCGAACCGACUAAUGUUGAAAAAUUAGCGGAUGACUUGUGGCUGGGGGUGAAAGGCCAAUCAAACCGGGAGAUAGCUGGUUCUCCCCGAAAGCUAUUUAGGUAGCGCCUCGUGAAUUCAUCUCCGGGGGUAGAGCACUGUUUCGGCAAGGGGGUCAUCCCGACUUACCAACCCGAUGCAAACUGCGAAUACCGGAGAAUGUUAUCACGGGAGACACACGGCGGGUGCUAACGUCCGUCGUGAAGAGGGAAACAACCCAGACCGCCAGCUAAGG
rnacentral:rRNA from 1 species